CAGAACUCAAUGACUAAAAGUGACAUGCAGAGAUGGUCCCAGUCAUGUGCCAUUCAUCAGGAGACAUGGAUGCUGUGCUGGGUGCUUGCGGCUGUCUAAUGAUGACGUCUGCCUGUUUCCUCAAGCUAGAGUGAAGGGGACCGUGCAGAAGAAAUCAGAAGCACUGAAGGACAGAUAUAUUUUCAUCAUUCCAAGUACCAACUCUACACUUCUUCUAUCUAAAAUCAAGAAAGGAUGA
rnacentral:lncRNA from 1 species